rnacentral:lncRNA from 1 species
CUGAUGAUACGCAUGGAUGCUGUUGGCCAGCACAGUGACACCCCUGGUGGUUUUGGAGGUUUAAAGAUGUCCUUGCGCCUCUGAUCAGCAAAAAUCAGACAACCUCCCAAGGAAGGCCAUCAAACGGGGCCUCCACCAUCCUGGAGGACCAGACCGCUCACCGCAGUGGCGACAGUUAUUAUCCCUCCAAAUGCUUCCUGGCACUCAUCUUCACCUGGUCACUUCAUAUGUUACAAAUUCAUCAAAAGCCAGAAUUUGUAAGUGUCGGACAUUUGGAGUUGACUGGAGGGUCCCAGUAGUGCAAUUAAUUGUGCCAAAGUUCUACAGGGCCACCAAAAAAAUCCAAAAAGGUGGAGCUUGAGAUGCUGAUGGUGAGAUUGAGAAACUGCUCUCAAUGAUGAUCAUGGCCACGUGACACCCACACGGCCGCUCCUUCACACAGAGGCACCCACACAGCAGAAUCUCACUGCAGGAUGUGCAGGUGUCCCCUCACUGAGUCCGGAGUCCCCAACCACGACAUAAAAGUGCUCAGCAAACUCCCAAGUCACUGCUGCCUCUGUGCUGACGAGCCACCGGCCCGGCCCUCCUGGGCUGUGUGAACGGCCUUGUCUUGCAUCCUUUAUGGCCAGUCGGCCGGAGAGGGAGGUAAGUGCAUGGAUUUAAGACGACCUCCACCGCGUGAGGCAGCCCCAGGCGAGAGUGCAGACCAGGAGGACUCGAUAAAUCUGUGAGGUAUGGAUUUUCCUAAACCAAGGUAGAAACUGUCAGAACCCUAAGGUCCCUGGUGGAUGGUGACAGCUUAGAAAAGGAGAGAAGCCCGUCCUGUUAUGAAGAACAGGGGAAAGCAUCGCAAGGAAGCCAGAAAACGAAACAGCAAAAUGCCUCCUCUUGCCCAUGCAUUCUUGUGGCCAUGCAUGUUGCAGGAUGUAUGUGGGAGACUGCUGGACACAACCAAACCCAUGGUGUAUGGGACGGACAAACAAUAGCCUGCAGGCACCACUGAAAAGACUCCUCGGGUACACCUAAGCGCCCCGUACGGUGUCUGCCUGCAUCACUUCAAGGCACCCGACCGUCUUGGAGAACUUUAGAAAUAAGUUGAUAAAAAGGAUGCGCGGAGUCCCCCAUCUGACUCCUCUGCUCUGAUGAGCCUCAGAACCGCGAGGAGCUGGCCGGGGGCUCAGCUAAGUGCUCACGGCUGCUGUGAAGCUGCUAGAUUCCUGCAGAGCCUAAAUUCCAUCAGGCAUCAAAUUCCAGCGUGCUGAGUGCAGGCAGGGGAGGUGACAGGCCCUGAGAGAGCCGCCCCUUCUCUCUGAAGGUCACAGUCAGCCGUCUUUGCUCAUCUUCUCCCUGAGCUCUGUAACGUUGGGUCACCUCCGAAUGUGAGGACAGGAGGACAAAGGAGGCCGACUGAGAGGGGACGAAGCCGAGAACUAAGGGUUAAAAAAUGUUCUACAGAGCAAAACCUUGGCACAGCUUUCUAACUGCCGCUGUGCACGCUCAGCAUAAUCAACUGUUGUUUAAAACUAAGCGGGUCGUUCUGUCCCUCCUUAGUAUGGGAGUGAGCGUCAUCCCAGGAGGUCAAGGUCCGGAUGUCAAGAUUCAGCCUCACAAGGCCAAAAGCGGGCUAAAGAUGCAAACUAGCCGGAAAAGUCCAGACAGUCAAGGGAAAAGCAAUUCAGUCUUCAAGGCCAAACGCAGGCUGGUGGGAAGGCACCAACCCGCAGGGCCACACAGCCCCCACCCCUACCUAAAACCCCGGCACGUGCCCCCUGCCCCUACCGAAAACUCCAGAUAAAAACCCCUACCUUUUCCCUCCCAGGAGGUGACCUGAGUUCUAAUUCCCACCUCCUCAUCUGGCUGCUUUUCCUUGCCCCAGGCCUGGCAUUUCCAGUUUGAGGCCCUCCCGUGUGGCAGGUACGCCAAC